rnacentral:tRNA from 1 species
AGAGCGGUGGUGUAAUGGCAACACCUCAGACUUUGACUCUGAAGCCUCUGGUUCGAUUCCAGAUCGCUCUUCCA